GGUCCCUCCUGAGGCGGAGGCGCCCUGCUGCUGGGUUUGCUCUGACACCCAACAGAGAAGCAGGAAAGGACAGCGGUCCUGCCCGCCCCCGGAUGGAAUGAGGAAGUCCCCAUCUCCUUGCCAAUGGUGAAGACAAGACCAAACACCCAGCAGCACACGAGGCCCCGCGAGCCGCAGCCCUUCCGCAGGUGCUUGUGGAGCCGAGGGAGAAACAGGACGACAUUCAGACCCGAGGUUACCGCACGCUGCGGCCUGCGCCUUUCGGUCACACCGCGGAAGGACUGUGUCCCGGAGGCAGAUUUGGGGGUCUGGUAGGUGACAUUGGAAAGCUCUCUCCUUCAAAGGAAGGUUAAGAGACACUUCUCACUGCUCUUUUCUUUUCUGCCUUUUCAUUUGCAAAUUCUUCUUAAGUAAACAAUUCGCCAAGGAGAAAGGCGUGAUGAGGUCUUUGUUGAGGACUGAAGAAACCGAGAAGUUAACCUCAAAGAGCCAGGCCAGCUUCCUGUAAGUCCCCCCCCCCCGCCCCCGCCCAGGAGGCCCCAGGAGGCCCCAGGCCGGUGUCCGGUGUCCGUGUUACUGGGCGACAUGGGGUGCCAUGGCUGCCUGUGUGUGAGGCUUUUCUCGGCCGCUUUCACGCGAGCGCAGUUUUUACUUGGCCUAAAAACCAAAAUACAAAAAGUCCUACACCUUUAACUUUCAUCCUUUUAAAAGCUUUUGAAUUAUUUUCUGAGUUAUUGAAUGGAUUUGCCCCCUCCCCAGGCCAAGCCUCUGCCGGGUGGGAGCGGGGGAGGGGAGGACGAGUGAGCGGAUCAGGCUUGUGCGUGUGAACUCUACUUGGAAAUAAAAAGUUACACUUUCUUUCA